rnacentral:rRNA from 1 species
UACAGAGGUCUCAAGCGUUGUUCGGAUUCAUUGGGCGUAAAGGGCUCGUAGGUGGCCAACUAAGUCAGACGUGAAAUCCCUCGGCUUAACCGGGGAACUGCGUCUGAUACUGGAUGGCUUGAGUUUGGGAGAGGGACGCGGAAUUCCAGGUGUAGCGGUGAAAUGCGUAGAUAUCUGGAGGAACACCGGUGGCGAAGGCGGCGUCCUGGACCAACACUGACACUGAGGAGCGAAAGCCAGGGGAGCAAACGGG